rnacentral:tRNA from 1 species
UCCCUGAUAGCUCAGUUGGUAAAGAAUCUGCCUGCAACGCAGGAGACCUGGGUUCGAUCCCUGGGUUGGGAA